GAUCAUGACUCAGGAUGAACGCUAGCGACAGGCCUAACACAUGCAAGUCGAGGGGCAGCGAAGAGGUAGCAAUACCUUUGUCGGCGACCGGCGCACGGGUGAGUAACACGUAUGCAAUCCACCUGUAACAGGGGGAUAACCCGGAGAAAUCCGGACUAAUACCCCAUAAUAUGGGCUCUCCGCAUGGAGAGCCCAUUAAAAGAGAGCAAUUUUGGUUACAGACGAGCAUGCGCU
rnacentral:rRNA from 1 species